rnacentral:misc_RNA from 1 species
GAACAUUGUUGGGCUUGCACGAACCCGUCCCGAUAUCUUUGGGACCACAGAGGAGGAAGUCUCAAAUGCUGUCAAGGCGGAGAUUGAGAAAGACGAGCAGCCAAAGCAGGUUAUAUGGGACGGUCACAGCGGAAGCAUUGGGCGAACUGCUAACCAGGCCAUGACUCAGGGCGAUGAACAGACUGAUGCUAAUGAUGGAAGGGCGCUUCCAGGGCCGGCUCCACCGCCGAAACUUGGGGUCCCGAUCAUCCGUC